GAUGAACGCUAGCGGUGUGCCUAAUGCAUGCAAGUCGAACGGGAUCCUUUGGAUUCGUCUGAAGGUGAGAGUGGCGAACGGGUGAGUAACACGUAGGUGACCUGCCCCGGAGAGGGGGACAACCACUGGAAACGGUGGCUAAUACCCCAGAUGUUAUUGCGCUUAGAAAGCAAUUACUAAAGUUCCGGCGCUCCGGGAGGGGCCUGCGGCCCAUCAGCUUGUUGGUAAGGUAAUGGCUUACCAAGGCUAAGACGGGUAGGGGGCGUGAGAGCGUGACCCCCCACACUGGUACUGAGACACGGACCAGAUACCUGCGGGUAGCAGCAGCAAGGAAUAUUGCCCAAUGGACGAAAGUCUGAGGCAGCAACACCGCGUGGAGGAUGAAGGCCUUCGGUUGUAACUCUUUCUGGGGAAGAGAAGGACGGUACCCAGGAUAAGUCUCGGCUAACUACGUG
rnacentral:rRNA from 1 species